GACGAACGCUGGCGGCGUGCUUAACACAUGCAAGUCGAACGAUGAACCCGGAGCUUGCUCCGGUGGAUUAGUGGCGAACGGGUGAGUAACACGUGAGUAACCUGCCCUUGACUCUGGGAUAACUGCGGGAAACUGUAGCUAAUACCGGAUACGACCCUCGGCGGCAUCGCCAGGGGGUGGAAAGAAUUUCGGUCAAGGAUGGACUCGCGGCCUAUCAGCUAGUUGGUGAGGUAACGGCUCACCAAGGCGACGACGGGUAGCCGGCCUGAGAGGGUGACCGGCCACACUGGGACUGAGACACGGCCCAGACUCCUACGAGAGGCAGCAGUGGGGAAUAUUGCACAAUGGGCGCAAGCCUGGUGCAGCAACGCCGCGUGAGGGAUGACGGCCUUCGGGUUGUAAACCUCUUUUAGUAGGGAAGAAGCGAAAGUGACGGUACCUGCAGAAAAAGCACCGGCUAACUACGUGCCAGCAGCCGCCGUAA
rnacentral:rRNA from 1 species